rnacentral:rRNA from 1 species
GAUGAACGCUAGCUACAGGCUUAACACAUGCAAGUCGAGGGGAAGCGACAUCGAAAGCUUGCUUUUGAUGGGCGUCGACCGGCGCACGGGUGAGUAACGCGUAUCCAACCUGCCCAUCACUUGGGAAUAACCUUGCGAAAGUAAGACUAAUACCCAAUGAUAUCCCACGAAGGCAUCGGAAUGGGAUUAAAGAUUUAUCGGUGAUGGAUGGGGAUGCGUCUGAUUAGCUUGUUGGCGGGGUAACGGCCCACCAAGGCAACGAUCAGUAGGGGUUCUGAGAGGAAGGUCCCCCACAUUGGAACUGAGACACGGUCCAAACUCCUACGGGAGGCAGCAGUGAGGAAUAUUGGUCAAUGGGCGAGAGCCUGAACCAGCCAAGUAGCGUGCAGGAAGACGGCCCUAUGGGUUGUAAACUGCUUUUAUAAGGGAAUAAAGUGGGUCACGUGUGACUUUUUGCAUGUACCUUAUGAAUAAGGACCGGCUAAUUCCGUG